CGGAGCCCCACCCGGGGCUUCACCCGGGGCCUCACCCGGGGCCGCUCCGGAGCCUCACCCGGGCCUCACCCGGGACUUCACCCGGGGCCUCACCCGGGCCUCACCCGGGCUUCACCCGGGGCCGCUCCGGAGCCUCACCCGGGGCCUCGCCCGGGGCCGGCGCGCUCCGGCCCGCCUGUGCCCGGAGCUGUAGCACAGGCGGGGUCAUGGGUGUUUAGAGGCGCAGGGUGAAAGGAGAACUCUGCCAGCCUCAUGGUGUGGUUCGUAGAAGAUCCAAGGAAAGUUGCCCCGCAGUGCCCCCAGUGCUCCUGGCCCCUUCAGCUGGCUGGCUGGCUGGAUGUGGGGAGAGCCACCCGGUUCCCAUAGCUGCACCCGGCUGUAGCUGUGCCUGCUGAAACUAUCUCCAGUGGGAGCACAGCUGUGGGUUGGGGCAACCUUGGAAAUCAUCCUGGAGUCCCAUAUUCACAGCAGCCACAUGUUGAACAUCCACUGCUUCGUCAUUUCAUGCCAAAACUGUUUCUCCUUACUUUAGAAUAAAAUAUGAUUGCAAUCAGGAGAGACAAAGCUUCAGAUGACUUGGCAUUUUCCUUCCUUGAGUGACUGCAUUUCUCCAGGUUGAUGUCUUUCCUUUUAAAGAAAAUCAUCACAACAGCAAUUUGUGGGAUAUAGGGUCUAUGCUCUUCACAUCAAAACAAGAGGAGUUUUCACUGAACUGCUACCAAUCAGGAUUAAAAGAUCAUGCCACUGAAGUUACCUACACUUCAUUCUGCAGCCAUCUCUGCUUUGCAUCUUGGCAACCUCACCUUUCCGCUGGGGCAGGAUCUGUGAUUCCUGAAGGUACAACAAGUGACCCAUGUUUCACAUCAUGUUCUCUCCAUGGAAAAAAAUGCCUUAUGAGCAGUGGGUGGACGCUAGUUACUAUCCAAAUUCUAAAAUGAUCUUCAGGUUGAAGGGAAGCUUGUGGAAUGCCCAAGAAAGCCUUACCUCUGCACCGAGUGAAGGAAGACUCUCAGCUCUCAGACCUUUUCUUGGUUAUGAAGACAGGUAACUCCUCCUUGAUGGACAUACUCUUAAAUUCCCUUUACAGACUACAGGAACCAAAAAAGACACAGAACAAUGAGUGUUCUGAGUGCUAAAUGUUAGAACAUAAUCACAGGGGAAAAAAAAAGGCAAGAAAAGUCAAAGCAGCCCCUCUGGAGAUAAAAAGAGAACCAAACAAGAGACUAUAAUAAAUUCUAACCAAAAGACAAAAAAUAAUUCCCUUCCUAAAAGACAUGCAACACAAGGAUUGAAGAAAAAGGCAGCCUGAUUCUAUUAGCCAAGUAUUAACACCCCUGGCUAAAGAAACCCUGCAAAAAGGAAGGAUUAACAUUUUCAAUAAAGGGGACCAGAUAUUGCAGUUCUAAUCAUCAGCACACUCCACUGACAGAAGAAUGGAAAAUAAUGUUCUUAAUAGUGUGAAAGAGAACAGGAGGUACACAGGCAAAGAAUCAGAGGUUGCUGCUGGUAAAUGGCAAAUAACUUGCCUAGAAAAAAGCAUCACAAAUAGGGGAGGUCACUGCAAGAAAGAGUAACUUUGCAAAUUGUCCCAGCACCUCUGUGUCUGGCUGGGCUGCAAUUCUGGUGGGUAGCACCAAGCAUCGAGGCCAUGUUUUGUGUCGCGAGUUUCUAGUCACCAUUUUUAAAAAAAAUAGACCCCAAAUGUCCUAAACAUUGCAUAAUCUUGCAAAAACCCAUAUCGAUUUACUGAGUAGCUCUGAAGUGUAAUGCCUUGUGUUCUUGUGCUGCCUGUCAUUGCAGCAGCAGCCUGCCUGUUGCGUUAAGGUGCGUGUGGAAAGACAGGAAUUGUGUUGUGUGCUUUAGUGUAAACAGUCACAGUCUCUUUACAACUGAGUCUGCUUGAAGUAGCUAUUUAGCAUUGGCCUCUAGAAGCUGAGCAGGACUGAGCCAUUCCCAUCCCUACGGAGCAGCUUGCCAGGUAUUACAGCUGGAGACAAUUUGAAAAGAGGUAUUCUUUACCGUGUCUGCUCUGAACCUGUUGGGCACCUUUAAAGGUAUCAUGAUCUGAGAACUCCAAAGCAACCCUCUUUUAAAGAAUGAUGCUUGAACUCCAUCUGCACCCCCUUACUUCAUCUCAGAACCUCAGAAGAUGAUGUACUGCACAGAAGUUUUGCCCCAUGAAAUGAGCCUGUUUUCUUUUGGAGAAGAAUGAAGAAGAAAGGAAAGCCUCAAAUACAUGGAUAUAAUUGUCUUCAUUAAAAGCUGGCUGAAAAGACUUUAUCCUGUGGGGUCUACUCUCUGUCUCUCUGAGCAUGUUCGGAGCUGCAGUCGGGCUGGCACCAGCUCCAGAAGUCAAAAUGUUGAAGGACUGAAGUAGGUUGGGAAGGACUGACUCAUGGCAAAGGGAAGAAGAAUGAAACUGGGAUGCAAAGCAUCGUCAGACCACUUGCUGCUCAACAGCAUCUCUGCUGGGUUUGCUUAUCUUCUGAAAACUAGCCAUGUGCUGGAGGACAUUCCCCUAGGAACUGCCUGGUCCUGACAGGCUAACUAUCCCAGUAUAUUCAUGGCAAUUUAAGGCAGAAGCUCUAAGAUCCUGCAUUCAGUCUCCAGGCUGAAUUGCUCUCUUCUCAUGGUGCAAGUGCAGCCUUUCUCUGUGGUAAAUCACAGCUACUCACCUGAAUAUGGCUGCAGUUUGUUGAUAGAUAAAGUAUUUGUAGUCUGUAUACAGAAUGUACGAUUUGCACAAGAAACAGAAAGUUUUUCCCUGUAAAAAAACCCCACCCAAUUUAAAGGUAUUGUAAUGACCAAAAUCACAGUUAGAUUAUUACUGCUACUGAAAGUAGGUUUUGAGGAAGUAAUAUUAUGCACCUGUCUUUAGGAAGUGUUGCUGAAUCUCCUGCUUUGGGAAACUCUUUCUGAUGCACACAAACUGCCCUCUUAUAUUUACCACGCACCUUCUCUACAGAAACUCCCAACAAACAUACGUCAGCAAAGAAACCCCUGCUCAAACAGCAUUUUGAAACAAUGCCUCAAGGUUUCAGUAGCCCUGUUGAUCUCAUGUGGAUUGUACCCUGGUGUUUGAGGGGGACCACGUGCUGUGAGAGUGCCCCGGGGCAGACAGAGGUAACAGCCGAGGUGCACAGUCUUGUGUUACAUAUCAAUCUAGCUGACAUGUUUGUAUGUCAAAGCUGCCAUGACUUCUGAAAAUCAGUUUAUUAUUCCCUUUGAAAGUGCAUUUGCCUGUCAUCAGGACCCGCGUGCUGAUCAAAAUUUCAAAGUCACGAGGGGUCUCAGAAUCCCCACUAAUGAUGAAUGGGACAAAUGAAUACACACUGAAAAACCUGAACUACUGUCCCUGAUUUUUUUUUUUUUUGGACAUGCUGUUCACACAUAAUUCUCCUAAAGGUAGUAUGGAUUUGGGAAUGCUCAGCUUCCACAAAAGCAAUGGGCUGUUCACACAUAAUUCUCCUAAAGGUAGUAUGGACUUGGGAAUACUCAGCUUCCACAAAAGCAAUGGGUGAAGAAGGUGGUAAAAAGAGAGUCUGUACUGGAAGUGGGGAGGAAGGAAAUGCAGAGACGAGAAGGACUGCUGUGCUGGGGAAUAUACCAUGAUGCAUGUAAUUGAUUGGGUCUUGAUUCGAAAAGAAAUCUGUUUGCAAAGAAAACAAUGAGAUUUUUAUGUUUUGACUGACCAAAGCCUUGAUGCUAUUCCACAGCAUGAGAGCAGCAUCCUUCCUUAGAAAGACAUCAGCAGUCCCAAGUGGCUAUUUCUGCUUUUGUAGUGAGAGAGAAAAUGGUAAGAGAAAGAAAGAAAAUGAAGUGCCUCUGACAAGGAAACAAUGUGCCAGAAGCAUCUCCUUUAAAUACGAAAGGCAAAAGGACAGAACUUGAUUCAUUCUCCAUCUGUUUUGUGUUUGUUUGUUGGGGCUUUUUACCAUCCAAUAUUUUACCUUGUAUUUAUUUCUUUUUCCUCUUGAAAUAUUGUGCUUUACAGUAAGAAAUCAUAAAACUGUGGAGGUUAGAGAUGCAAGAAGCCUAUUAGAUCAUCUGCUCCACUGCUCUUGGCCAGCAGAAAAUUGCUCCCUAUGGUACAUUUUCUAAUGUUUUGUCCAGCCAUGUAAAAAUCCUGAGUGACCAGGCUUCCACCAGGUCCCCCAGCAGCUUUUCUACAGCUGAGUACAUCUUGAAAGAUUUUCCUCUACUCAGCCUAUGGUUUCAUGUUGCUAGUUUCACCCCAUUUGGCACUUCUGUUUCUGUGUAGCAGUCUAAAGUGUUACCUCCCCUUUGGCAUUCUGAAUCUAUACCUGCUUAGCAUGGAGUCACAAAAAAACAGGGCUGAAAGGACCUUUGUUGUUCAUACACACAAAGCUUUUAAAUCUGCUUUGUAAGGCUGUCUGUCUAGAUUCCUGGUAUUUUUUAUUGUUUUCUCUCCUUUUACCAAUUUGUCCAUGCACAGCAACUCCCCCGACUGGGUGUAUUAUUCCAGAUGCAUUUGCAUUAAAAUGAUGUAGAAAAUAGAUCUCUAUUGCCUUUGAUUCAAAUAUCAAGGAAACUUCACCCUAAAAUUGCAUCAGCAUUUUUGCAGCCAAACUGUAAUGUGCACUUAUGUUCAAUUGGCCACCCACUCUCAUUGCAAAGUGUUUCAGUAUUCCUGCUAGCAGUUUGCCAUUGCCUACAAGUGUUUUGGAGGGUUUUGCCUCAGGUAUAUUUUUAUGCUUACAAGUGGAAACUCAUCUUGUUAUUUUCUCUUGUAAUGUCCCCAGGCUCACUAGGUCACUCUGUGUUAUUUCCAUAUUCUGAGUCACCUUUCAGGUCCUCCCAGGCCAGGGUCAUCUGUGAGAGCCCUUUGUGUACAGCACAUAUUUCCUAUAUUAUUAAUAAGGACACUAAAUCACAGUGUUUCUGACACAAACAAUGUUAUUGUGUUUUUCUGGUUUUUUUACUAGGUGACUUUAAUGUGUUGCCUAGUGCUUUCUCCCUUCCCUAUGCAUCUUUUCCUUUCCAGUUCAGAUUCUUCUUUCUCCUGGAACUGUGACAUUGCCCUUUGUAUCUAUUUUUUUCUUUUCAUCAUUAUGCCUUUUUUCAGAGAUUUUUUGUUGUUGUUGUUAUUGUCUUUCAUGUUUUCUGGGCAUAUUAUUUACAGCUGUAUUUUAGUAAAAUAGAAUUAGAAGCAAUGUUCUGGAUCACUGAAUCCAGAUCACAAUUAUUUCAGAGAGCUGUGCCAUGAAAUCCCUUUAAAAUAUUAAUUGAGUUUCAGUUUGAUGAAACUGUAAAACCAAUUAAGUUUUCUGUGCCUUCUUUUUCUACUACACAGCCAUUGUCCAGCUAUCCUACUUGGAGAAUUAAACUCCUUCUUUGACAUCCCAGACUGAAUUUGCUUAUGACCAGUUUUUAUCUCUUGUCCAGGUAACAGUAGAGUCCUGGAGCUUCAUUAGUUCUUGUUCCUCUCUAUUGCUUUCCCUUUCUCACCUUCAGUAUAUUUGUGGGUAGAAAUCAGAUUCUGUCUCAGCAUUUGCUUUCUGAGUUUAUACAUGCCAAACUCUGCCAUAAGAUGACUGAUAAAAGGCAGUGUAAAAACAGCUGGAUUAAAGAUACCAAACUUGCAGGAAGUGGUAUAAAUCUUUCUAAGAAAACAUCAUGUUGUUGUAACUGUAAACACUGAAUUUAUGGUUCAUUACCAUAUUAUAUAUAUAUAGCUUCUUUUAGACUUCACUUUUGUAGCUUCCAUUCCCUGGAUGUUCCUACCAGUUCUUCAUUUGCCUGGUGUAGUUUUAAGCUGCCUUCUGAAACAUGAAUAAUUACAAUUGCAUGCCAAAGCCCAGAUUAAGUCUCCAAAACAGUUGUGUUCAGGUAUCAAGUGGAAAUAGCUCAACUGGCCUAUUUACCUAUGGAAAUGUCAUAGCUAUGGUAAACUGACUCUGUCCACCCAGCUCUUUCUUCUGUGUCACUUCCAAUUAGCAAACUUACAUUCACAACUCAGUUAUUUUUGAGUGGAUAAGCUCAUAUGUCAUGCUAUUGCACCUCUAUUCAUCUGGCCCAUGAGUUAACACAGCCCUUCCACUCCUUUGGAAGUCUGACCCCGUCCUCAUUCCUAGGGGGAUGCCUCCCAAAUUUUAAUAUUCCCUCCUGUUGUUCCUAAAUUACUGAAUCUCCUGUUUUCCCCAGUGCUCAUAUUAUUCUGGAGUUCAGUGCCUUUGUAGAGCUCCAGUCCAUGACCAUCUCAAAUUCAGAAAGCUUCUUUCACAAGGGGUCCCAGACUUCCUUUGUGGCUGUAAGUCCAUUGGUCAUAAGCAGCAGUGUCUUGGGUCUACCUGGUAAAGGGCAACUUUUGGGGUUUCUGCAUACAUUUUUUGGAACCCUAAAAUGUUGGGUUUUUUUCUUCCUAAAGCUUCUGUUCACCCUGUCAUCAUGUCCAAGGCUGGUUGUGCAUUGUGACAGUGUCAUUUCCCCAUUGUACCAUAGGAUCAAUUGUGUUACGAUUCUAUUGCAGAAUAGUAGUCAAUCUCCUGUUAUAUAUGUGUGGUGUUCAAAUAGGUCAUUUGAUUAUUUGAUACAAUCAGAUAUUUUUGUGUCCUCUCCCAAUCAUUUGUUGCUUUUAGUACAAUUCUACGAAGUGUGUUUGUAAAAUAAAAAUUCCUUUGUAAGCAGUAUAAAAUUUCGUAUAAAACAAAGUGCUGUUUUCCCUUUCAAGUAUGUCAUAGAACCAGCUACAUUACUUGUUUGAUAAAUUUUGUUGUACAGCAAGGAAAAAUGUUAAUAUGGGUAAAUAGUUAAUAAAUUGUACCCAUUUUAGCAGAUGUCCAUGAGGACUGGACAGGAAAAAACCUAGCAGUACAAUUUUCUAUUAUAUAACCAUGUCAAUUUUGCCAAAUUCCAGUCUGAACACCAAAAGUAGCUCUGAUAUCAGACUAUCCUCUUUUGAACUAUCCAGUUUUUUGGAAUUAAAUAUCAAUGUUUCUACUUUUAAAGAUAUUGUGGUCCUUUGUUUAUUUGUGUAUUCUAU